AUUGAACGCUGGCGGCAGGCUUAACACAUGCAAGUCGAGCGGAGAUGAGGUGCUUGCACCUUAUCUUAGCGGCGGACGGGUGAGUAAUGCUUAGGAAUCUGCCUAUUAGUGGGGGACAACAUUCCGAAAGGAAUGCUAAUACCGCAUACGCCCUACGGGGGAAAGCAGGGGAUCUUCGGACCUUGCGCUAAUAGACGAGCCUAAGUCGGAUUAGCUAGUUGGUGGGGUAAAGGCCUACCAAGGCGACGAUCUGUAGCGGGUCUGAGAGGAUGAUCCGCCACACUGGGAAUGAGACACGGCCCAGACUCCUACGGGAGGCAGCAGUGGGGAAUAUUGGACAAUGGGCGGAAGCCUGAUCCAGCCAUGCCGCGUGUGUGAAGAAGGCCUUUUGGUUGUAAAGCACUUUAAGCGAGGAGGAGGCUACCUGGAUUAAUACUCUAGGAUAGUGGACGUUACUCGCAGAAUAAGCACCGGCUAACUCUGUGCCAGCCGCCGCAGUAACAC
rnacentral:rRNA from 1 species